rnacentral:lncRNA from 1 species
UAAAUCUUCACACAUGCUAAUCAUUGCUCAAGUCCAUGAAGAGUUUUGAUAGUGUACCUAGAGAUUACAAAAGGAAAAGAGGUAAUCACACCAAACAGAACAACAUGCCAGCAAUGUGAUAAUGUCAGCAGAAAUCAAUUCCACAUAGUAAGAAAGUUGUAACCCACAACCAAACACAAGUAAGCAAAAACUCUUCAACGAGUAGAUUCAGUCCAUGUUUGAAAAUCAAACCAAUAAAAUGACAAAUCCUUUUAAAAUCCCGGAAAAUCAGCCCCAAUUUCUAAUUUAAAUCAUUUUUAAAACUUCAAAUGAAUCACAAGUUGCUUGGGAGGUUGAAAAUCAAAGAGGAAAAUUCAAUAGAAUAGUAGCUUUCUUCAAGCUUGUUGUUG